rnacentral:rRNA from 1 species
GACGAACGCUGGCGGCGUGCCUAAUACAUGCAAGUCGAGCGAAUCAAUAGGAGCUUGCUCCUGUUGGUUAGCGGCGGACGGGUGAGUAACACGUGGGCAACCUGCCUGUAAGACUGGGAUAACACCGGGAAACCGGUGCUAAUACCGGAUAAUCCUUUUCCUCUCAUGAGGAAAAGUUGAAAGUCGGUUUCGGCUGACACUUACAUAUGGGCCCGCGGCGCAUUAGCUAGUUGGUGAGGUAACGGCUCACCAAGGCGACGAUGCGUAGCCGACCUGAGAGGGUGAUCGGCCACACUGGGACUGAGACACGGCCCAGACUCCUACGGGAGGCAGCAGUAGGGAAUCUUCCACAAUGGACGAAAGUCUGAUGGAGCAACGCCGCGUGAGCGAUGAAGGCCUUCGGGUCGUAAAGCUCUGUUGUUAGGGAAGAACAAGUAUCGGAGUAACUGCCGGUACCUUGACGGUACCUAACCAGAAAGCCACGGCUAACUACGUGCCAGCAGCCGCCGUAA